rnacentral:rRNA from 1 species
GUACACUCCUACGGGAGGCAGCAGUGGGGAAUUUUGGACAAUGGGCGCAAGCCUGAUCCAGCCAUGCCGCGUGCGGGAAGAAGGCCUUCGGGUUGUAAACCGCUUUUGUCGGGGAAGAAAAGGUUCUGGCUAAUACCUGGGACUCAUGACGGUACCUGAAGAAUAAGCACCGGCUAACUACGUGCCCGCAGCCGCGGUAAUACGUAGGGUGCAAGCGUUAAUCGGAAUUACUGGGCGUAAAGCGUGCGCAGGCGGUUAUGCAAGACAGAGGUGAAAUCCCCGGGCUCAACCUGGGAACUGCCUUUGUGACUGCAUGGCUAGAGUACGGUAGAGGGGGAUGGAAUUCCGCGUGUAGCAGUGAAAUGCGUAGAUAUGCGGAGGAACACCGAUGGCGAAGGCAAUCCCCUGGACCUGUACUGACGCUCAUGCACGAAAGCGUGGGGAGCAAACAGGAUUAGAUACCCCUGUAGUCCCAUGA